GGGCGUGUGGCAAAACGCUUGACUACAAAUCAAGAGAUUCCAGGUUCGACCCCUGGCACGCUCG